CCGUGCAGCCGGGGAAUCAGCGGCUCCCUGUACCUACAAUCCGCUAUAGUAGGGGUGAUGUCUUGUCCCGGGUCGUGCUUUGUACAGCAGCCCUUUGUAAGUGACGUUGAUAUGCGGGUCUUGCGCAACAGAAAUCUAUGAAUCGUGUCAGGUCGGGAACGAAGCAGCACUAAGUGGAAUCUUCUGUGUGCCGUGAGGGUGCCUGCAUUGAGUUAACUGCAAAGGUAACGUGUAUAGAGUGUGAUUCAAAACAAGACGCACGG
rnacentral:SRP_RNA from 1 species